UGGCAGUGAUGACUUAUCUUAGGACACCUUUGGAAUAACCAUGAAAUAACAAUACCUUCCUCCUGAGCCAU
rfam:Caprimulgus carolinensis contig46957, whole genome shotgun sequence.